UACGGUGGGGGCAAGCGUUGUUCGGAAUCACUGGGCGUAAAGGGCGCGUAGGCGGCUGUUCAAGUCGGGGGUGAAAUCCCGUGGCUCAACCACGGAAUGGCCUUCGAUACUGGACGGCUCGAGACCGGAAGAGGUGAGUGGAACUGCGAGUGUAGAGGUGAAAUUCGUAGAUAUUAGGAAGAACACCGGUGGCGAAGGCGGCCCACUGGAUCGGUACUGACGCUGAGGUGCGAAAGCGUGGGGAGCAAACAGG
rnacentral:rRNA from 1 species